rnacentral:rRNA from 1 species
ACCAGACUCCUACGGGAGGCAGCAGUGAGGAAUAUUGGUCAAUGGUCGGGAGACUGAACCAGCCAAGCCGCGUGAGGGAGGAAGGUACAGAGUAUCGUAAACCUCUUUUGUCAGGGAACGAAGGCGGGGACGUGUCCCCGGAUGAGUGUACCUGAAGAAAAAGCAUCGGCUAACUCCGUGCCAGCAGCCGCGGUAAUACGGAGGAUGCGAGCGUUAUCCGGAUUUAUUGGGUUUAAAGGGUGCGCAGGCGGUCGUUAAAGACGGGGGAAACGCCCGGGCGCCACCCCCCGCCCCGCCGUUGAAACUGGCAGUCUCGAGUUGGAGAGAAGUAUGCGGAAUGCGCGGUGUAGCGGUGAAAUGCAUAGAUAUCACGCAGAACGCCGAUUGCGAAGGCAGCUUACCGGCGCUCAACUGACGCUGAGGCACGAAAGUGCGGGUAUCGAACAGGAUUAGAUACCCGAGUAA